UGGGGAAUAUUGCACAAUGGGCGAAAGCCUGAUGCAGCGACGCCGCGUGAGCGAAGAAGUAUUUCGGUAUGUAAAGCUCUAUCAGCAGGGAAGAUAAUGACGGUACCUGACUAAGAAGCACCGGCUAAAUACGUGCCAGCAGCCGCGGUAAUACGUAUGGUGCAAGCGUUAUCCGGAUUUACUGGGUGUAAAGGGAGCGCAGGCGGUGCGGCAAGUCUGAUGUGAAAGCCCGGGGCUCAACCCCGGUACUGCAUUGGAAACUGUCGUACUAGAGUGUCGGAGGGGUAAGCGGAAUUCCUAGUGUAGCGGUGAAAUGCGUAGAUAUUAGGAGGAACACCAGUGGCGAAGGCGGCUUACUGGACGAUAACUGACGCUGAGGCUCGAAAGCGUGGGGAGCAAACAG
rnacentral:rRNA from 1 species